rnacentral:tRNA from 1 species
AUUAAUAUAGUUUAGAAAAAAUAUUACUUUGUGGAGGUAGUGAUGCUUAUGCUAUUAAUC